CCCCACCACUCCUCUCAGCUCCGUCGCCGCCAUGAGCCGCCGCCGCCGCCUGGAGAUACAGGGCCGGAACUGCCUACGAGAGCCGCCGUCGCCGCCCGGAGAGCCCCAGAAGGCUAACGCAUCAGCCGCCGCCGCGCAGCGUCCCCGCCCCGCCAGGCCGCCGUGGGGAGGAGGGCUCGGUCGCCGGGAAGAAGGAAGUCGAUUGGUGCCGCUGAGUGUCACUUGCGGAAGACCCCUAGGACAUUGGCAUUUCUUUGGGGUCUGUCAUUCCAUACCGCCCAGUGAGAACCCGGGGUGGGACGCGUCCGCCAGACGCGCCGUUGAUUGGUUUAAGUGAAGGCCAAUCAGACUCCUGUUAAGCUCAUUGGUUCUUUCCCCAAGUCUCCGGCACUCAGGGAAGACUCGAGAAUGCAGAGUGCCCGGCCAAUUUGAUCGCCGAUUGGCUAAUGAUUCUGCCACUCAUUUCAGUUUAUACUGCCGUCACUGCCACGUCACCCCCUCCCAUCAUUCUUCUCAGCCUCCCUCUUCUGCCCUUUCGGAUUGGUGGUUGGUAUCAGCUGCUCAACCUUUUCUACCAUUGACCGAAAGAGUUGAGGAAAAAGAGGCGGAGUCUCGUCGUCCUCACUUUCAUUUCUUAUUGGUUGGUAUGGAUAUCACUCACAUGUCGGCGGAGAGACAGGGCGAUGAUUGGAGAUAAUUGUUUCCGGAAUUGAGAGAGGCAGGCCCGGUCAGCCAAUAAAAUCUGGUAUGAGCGCCUGGGGGGCGUGCCCGUCUGCUUCUGGCUUUGGGUAAGUUGGUGAAAGAUAAAAAGCGAGUUUUUUCAAAAGCGUGUUUGAUGUAAGUACAGUGUCGGAGUCCCUCAUUCUGAGCCAAGACCUCCAUAGUUUCUUGUUAGGAAGAGUGACUCUCAGCAGUCAGGCCCUGUCUGAGUCUUUUCCUUCUAGAGCUCCCUUCCUGCAGCCGGCUCCGAGUUGGAGACCCAGAUGUCUGGGGAGCCCAGAAAUAGCUUCCCUAGUUCCCUCCUGGACUCAAGAUCCUCCUAAUUCCUCUCUCUGCUUCGCUCAUCAUUGCACCACACCCUUCAUCUCCUGAUUCUAGACCGUCAUAUACUUCUCCUAAUUCUGUCCCAUAACACCUGAAUGCCCUGGUUGGUUUUGUUAUUAGCACACAUGUGGUACGCAUAACUUUGCAGAGAAAAUAGUUAUUUUUGGUAAAUUGACUUUGUUUACCCAUUUGUGAAAGUAACAUUCAGAAACUCAUUUAACAGAUGUAAACUGUUAAAACGGACUUUGGGGGAACCUGUUAAAUUUUGCUGGUUUAGCCAGAAAAUAGAAAAAGCUGUUAGACACUGCAAAGCAAAUUGCUUUUCCUUGGCACUGUGCUUUCCGGUAUCGAGAAAGAAAAAUGUCCUUUUUCGAAAAUGUUUUUAACAGGAGAGAAAUAUUUAUUCAAUUCAAGAGAGAGAAUACACAUUGAAAAUCUGCAGAUGUAGGCCAUUCGGGAUUAAUUGUUUUUUUUCAGCUGCGCUAAAGUGAACCCCUUUAUGCCUCAGUCCUGCCUUUGCUACUUACUGUCUCGAUGUAUUAGGGAAAGUCAUUUAUUUAAGCACUCCAAGAUUCAGUUUUCACUUAUGUUAAAUAAAAAUAAAACCUUACAGGGAUGCUGCUGUUGUGAUUAAAUGUUUAAACAUGUGUUUGAACAUAUUUGAUAUACCAUAAACAGCUACACAAAUGUGAGUUGUGUUGCCAAAUACACCCCUCAGAUUACUUGUCAAUCAGAAAGGAGAAACACAUACUGAUGUAAUGGGGAAAUCUGACUGUCUCCACCUUAAUCCAAUUUAGCAUCAUUAAUCCUGGGACAACCAAAUUUUUAUGAUGUUCCUGGUAUGCUGCAGCAUGUCGUAUACAGCAUUGCAUAAUGAAGUUUUUCUUUUUGCCAAAAAUGCUCAACCUGGAUCCAAUCAAGCCUUUAGAUCUAACCUCCCGUUUAUAGGGCCUAGAUGAACCAGUUAGACACCCACAAGGAAACAAUCAGAUAAGAACAUGAGGCACGCUAUAAGACAACCAGUUUUACAAAAGGUGAGACAGAAAGAUUAAGGACAAUGGAUGUCCUAAAAAAAGAUCAAGGGGUGAUCGUUCUAAAUUAAAAAUAUAUAUAUAUUAAAAGACAACCAAAUGCCUGAUUGGUUUCUGGUUCUGGAAAAAAAAAUAUAACCAGGUUUUUAAACAUUUUGGGGAUAAUUGAGGACAUUUGAAAUUGAGUGGUAUUAGAUGGUAUUAGGCAGUUAUUACAUUUGUUCAGUGUAAUAUUGGUAUAAUGGAUAGGAAGGAAAACAUCUUUACAAUUUGGAGAAAUGUUUACGAGUGACCAUUGUUAACAAUUUGACAUAUAUUCUUCUAUCUUAUGAAUUUUAAAAAUUAAAAAAAUUCUAAGGAAAUAUUUUGACACCUAUACUUAUUAGUUUGCCAGGGCUGCCAUAACAUCACAGAUGGGGUGGCUUCAACAAUGGAAAAUUUUUUCUUACAAUUCUAGAGGUUAGACGUCUGAGACCAGGUCUUGGCAGGGCUGGCUCCUCCUAAGAUCUCUGUCCUUGACUUUUAGACGGCUGUUGUCUCCCUUCUGUCUUCACAUGGUCUCCUUUCAGUGCCCAUGUCUCUUCUUCUAAGGACACCAAUCAUAUUGGAUUAGAGCCCACCCACAUGACCUCAUUUUAAUUCCUCUUUAAAAGUCCUAUCUCCAAAUACAGUCACAUUCUGAAGUACUGGGGGCUAAACUGAGGGACACAGUUUAGCUUGUAACGUACACAGAAUGCAUGUCUGAAAGUUAUGAAGCACAAUAGUAAAACUAACACCCAUUAAUCCAUCGUUCAACAUAAUAGAAAAAUAACCAAUUUCCUACAUCUUUAUCCCAAUCUCAUUCCAUGAUGUAUUGAGAAAAAAAGUAAAAAUAUAAUUCUAACUGUAUGCAUAUGGAUACAAAAAUUACUUGGAGGACAAUACACUAAACUGUUAGCAGUGGUUAUUCUGGGGGUGGAACUAGUGAUACUUUCUCUUUGUAACAUAUGCAGAUUUAUCUCUGGUUCUUUAGAUUGGUACGAAAUCUAAACGAUUUAAAAUAUUCUAUCUACAACUGGCAAAGUACACACAUCACUGAUUACCUAGCUCCCUCAUAGGUAUUUCCCAGCUCCCAGGUCUGAUUUAGGUUAAUAUUGAAGAAUGAACUUGGCUAAGUUGGGGAGCUUGGCAAGUCACACUGAAUAAUAAACAACAAGCUCCUUGAAACAGUCUUAUGUGCAACAUUUGCAAAAUAAAAAGCCAAACUCAGACUGUUAUGAGACCUGCGAUCUACUCACAACUGUGCCUCUGCUGCAGUAAGGAAAAAAGGUCAAAACAAUGGUAUUCAGUGAUUUUAAGAUACUGAUUCCUCAGGUUAAAGACUUGUUUCCUAAAAACCCACAUAUUAAUUUUUGCAGGAUUACAGUAUCUUUAAACAUAGUUGGAUGAAGAAAAGUAUAAUGUGCCUUCAGCCUCCUUAGGUCUACUUCUCACACAGUGGACUUCAUUGCCCUCCAAAAGUAAAUGGCUACGUGAAGUCUCUUAAAAAAGUCACAUGUGCCUCGAGAGAGAUGGCUGGAGAAGAUGAACUGAAGUGUGCCAAUUCCAUUCUGCAGUUAAAAUGGGAGGGGAACUGAAAGCGUAUAGGUUUUUAAAGGAAAGUUACCAUGUAAACAAAAGAUCUUUGUCUGCCUCCCUUACAACAAAAUUAAAAAAGUAAACACA